rnacentral:rRNA from 1 species
ACAGCAGUCGCCGCGGUAAUACGAAGGGUGCAAGCGUUAAUCGGAAUUACUGGGCGUAAAGCGUGCGUAGGCGGUUUGUUAAGUCUGUUGUGAAAUCCCCGGGCUCAACCUGGGAAUUGCAGUGGAUACUGGGUCACUAGAGUGUGGUAGAGGAUAGUGGAAUUUCCGGUGUAGCAGUGAAAUGCGUAGAGAUCGGAAGGAACAUCUGUGGCGAAGGCGACUAUCUGGGCCAACACUGACACUGAGGCACGAAAGCGUGGGGAGCAAACAGGAUUAGAUACCCCAGUAGUCCCUGUCUCUUAUAC